UGUAUAUACAUAAGUACACUCACACAUGCACAGACACACACACACACACACACACACACAUAUGCAUGUACACAAAUACCGGUAUUCCUAGCUGCAAAAAACUAACAAACAAACAAAACUAAUAAUAAUAUUAAUACUGACCAUUGGUGGUUUGGAGUACACUGACAUUUGCAAUAAAAGUUAAUAGAUUCCUUACUGCCACAUACUUCCUUGGUGCCACACUCAACUUUAAACACAGCCGUCAUUGUGAUGUAACUACACACCUGAAAAGUUUCAUGACUGCAUCUUGCACAGUUGUGGUGUUACAGUGUUAAAAAAUCUCCACAGACAUACAAAAAGACAGAAAGUUUCUGUGAUACUUCCCUCUACAGUAGAUCUCACCAGCAUCACAUUUCACCAUAAUGAUUCCACGGAAGACACACGAAGCCUCACAAGGUGAAAAAACUUUAGCUGCUGCAGCAUUUCUUUUGGCUUCAAAUAACUUGUGUGACAAAAUUCCCCUUCCAUGUUUGCUUUUCCCACCCACAAGUCUCAGUUUCUCUUCAUGAUUUUACAGAAAAUAAAUUCAAGGUGCUUUAAUGAAGUUAGUCGUGCUGCCACUCGGUUAUAUGACAAUUCUUAUAAAUGUGUCUAAUUUGCAGUUGAAACACCAAGUCAAGUUGUUUUUCCUGAAUUUGAAUUAAAGUGGGGUUUUCCAGUAAAUUGUUGCAAUGCAACAAUGCAGGUGAGUGUCUAAAGGGCUUGCCAUUUAAUGGAGGGGAUUUUUGAGUAAGAAUGAAACUGAAAGUGUCAUUGCACAGGUUCAUUGCACUGCCCCUUCUGGCAGCUGUACAAAAAGGGCUAGACACAUCAUACUGAAACCAACCUCCACACUUCACACUGAACCUCAACGAUACAGCUGAUCCCACUGAGAAGAGAGAAAUAAGAUGGCUGCAUCUAAGGGUCUUGUAGUCGUUAUGACUGGUGCAUGUACAUUACUAGGAAUGGGACCAGUGGGAUGGGCAAUAUUUGGAGUGACAGCAGUAGUGGUAGUGGCAGUGGCAGUGGGAGCGGCAGUAGAAGAUCAUGGAAAACGAUGACUCGGAAAAGAAUCUCUGACUGACGAGGUCAUUCUUCUAUCAAAAACAUUGAUGGAAUCAUAACUUGAAUUAAAAACAAAUAUAAGCUGUGUAUAAUGUAUGGGACUGAAACAGACACAGUAGACAAUAGUGUCAUCACACCCACAGAGGCUGACCAUACUAAAAAUGACAGUAAACAGUAUUUUGAAGCUAUACCAAUUGUUAAGAAUACUUGGUAAUGCCAUUGGGAGCUCCAGGGUGUCGAGGGGCCAUCACCUCCAUUUAUACACCAGGCCUCAUCCGGUUGGGCAUGGACUGACCUGAGGGAGGAGGCAGGGUCAAAUGUAACAACAGAACCACAGAUUGUACAAACAGUGAUUUAACAGAUACGAAAUAAAGAACUGAGUGACACUGGA